UACAGAGGUCCCAAGCGUUGUUCGGAUUCACUGGGCGUAAAGGGUGCGUAGGUGGUGAGGUAAGUCGGAUGUGAAAGCUCGGAGCUCAAUCCAAUCGGAAGCAUUGGAAACUACCUUGCUUGAGGGUUGGAGGGGGACUGGAAUACUUGGUGUAGCAGUGAAAUGCGUAGAUAUCAUGAGGAAUACCAGAGGCGAAGGCGGCUUCCUGGAUCACCCCUGACGCUGAGACGCGAAAGCGUGGGGAGCGAACGGG
rnacentral:rRNA from 1 species